AACAAGGCGUACCUGCGGACCUGCGGAGGGAUCAUUACACAAUACAAUAUGAAGGCUGUCCGCAGCUGGAGUAUUUUAUUACCCUUGUCUUUUGCGCACUUGUUGUUUCCUGGGCGGGUUCGCUCGCCACCAGGACCACCAAAUAAACCUUUUUUAUGCAGUUGCAAUCAGUGUCAGUACAAACAAUGUAAAUCAUUUACAACUUUCAACAACGGAUCU
rnacentral:misc_RNA from 1 species